rnacentral:lncRNA from 1 species
CCCCGCCCUGGUCAGAUUCUGAUCUGGAGCGCCGCAGACCUAUCCACCGCGCCAGGGGGAGCAGAUCAGCAGACUGGGUCCAUAAUUUGGGGGCCAGAAUGCAAAAAAGUAAAAUGAGAGGCCGGUUGUUCAAAAAUGAUGGAGGGACAGUGUAGAAAACAGGCCCCAGUCUUGCCCACUGAGGGUAAACUGCAAGAGAGCAAAAGUGACAAGUACAUGGGUAAACUGAGGCAAGUGGCACUAGUCCCAGAGGAGAGAGGAUAAGGUUGGAACCUGGAGUGGGAGAAGGUGAGGGGCAAGCAGAAAGACCAUCGAGUGUACAAAUGCAAAGCAGCGACCUGAAUUUGGGCCUGAGAGUUGGCCUGGGCCCGCCUCAGGGGCCCCUCAGGAUUCCGGGUGCUGUCAUUGGUCUCAGGACUUAGGCGAUGCAGUCUACCUGGGUCUCCCAGGCCCCUCCCUCCAAGCAUCUCAUAAUCUGUCUCCAGGGAGCCACCACCACCUCCCCCGGCCUGAUAGGCCAGGCCAGGCCACCCAGGGACAUGGAUAUCGAGGCCCAGGCCUCAGAGGACAGGCUGAGCAUGGACAUCCAGACCAGCUCUUUGCCCAGGAACCAGGGCACGCUCUGUCUGUCCACCCAAGAGAGACGACUUCCCCUUCCCUGUAAACCUUCACCUCUCCUGUCAAUAGUCUGACAGCUGACCGGAGGCUCUGAGGGUGGGAGCAUCUGGCGGCUCUGCAGGAGCAGCCUUGGGGCUGGUUUUCUUGGGCAGUGAAUCCUCAUAGCCCAAUUCUCAGUUGAGAAAAGCCUCUGGCCCUCGUCCUCUCCUCCCCUCCAGGUGAAGCAGGCUCCAUGAUCCCAGUUUCACACACAGGACCUGUUCAAGGAGGCACCUGGGCCCUCCUCCCACCCACGUUCCCCAGUCUCUCCUAGAUGAUCCCUCGGGAACCGCCCUGGGCCCAACAACCAGAGCUGCAGCCAGCAUUCGGUUUCCAGGUGUGGACACACACUGCUUGUCGACAGCCAUGUUGUGGUGGUGACCCACAUACAAAACAGAAGAAGAUUGGCACAGAUGUUAGCUCAGGGCGAAUCUUCCACACACACAAAAAACAAAUGAAGUGUAGCAGCUGGUUGAUGAGAAUUUGGCACUGAUCAACGCUAAAACAAUGUAUAAGAACAAAGUCAAGGACGUGUUUGCAGCCUCCUAAGAUCCUCACUGAAGGCCUACUAUGCACCGGAUACUAUUCUAGGUGCUGGGGGUAAAGCAGAAUAAGGUAGGCAGACACCUCAGGCCUCACAGAGCAGGCAUAAAGCAACCAAAAAUAUAAUGCCAUAACAUUGAACUUAGAAGUUCUAUUAAAAAGUCUUAAAAACAGAAUGAUAC